GUCCCUGCAGGAAGAGGGAGACACGUGCACACACAGGGCCACGUGAGGACGGUGGCGGGGGUGUGGUGAUGCCACGGCCAGCCAGGGCACGCCAGGAGCUAGAAGAGGCAGGGAGGAUCCACCCCAGAGCCUGCGGAAGGAGCGGGAUCUCCGACCUCUCCAAACCGAGGGAACGGGUUUCUGUCGUUCAAGCCCCCAGCAUGUGGGACAGCAGUGCACGCUCCUGUUGGACCUUGCCCUUGCCCCCCGCCCCCGGCGCUGGCAUGCUCCCUCUUACUGCACCUGCUGCCAGAGAUGGGAGCGUCUUUCCUGCAGCCUUGGGGCCUCGGUGGGGCUGGCCUUGGGGCAGCACGCAGUAGGAAGAAGUCGGUUUGCCGGCCAGGCAGGAAUCAAAGCUAUCUGUUCUAUCUCAGAGAAAUGCAGAAAAAUGUCUUCAAACUUAGCAUCACUGUCAGUUUUAAGUUCUUCGGACUCCUGAACUUGAUGAUGCCAAAUGGGGCCAGCACCAUUUUUUUUUUAACACUUUUUUUGUUGUGUAAAAAAAUGAACAUUAAACAAACGCAAUGUAAAAUUUA